rnacentral:rRNA from 1 species
AAUAGAUACCCGGGUAGUCCACGCCGUAAACGUUGGGCGCUAGAUGUGGGGACCUUUCCACGGUUUCCGUGUCGUAGCUAACGCAUUAAGCGCCCCGCCUGGGGAGUACGGCCGCAAGGCUAAAACUCAAAGGAAUUGACGGGGGCUCGCACAAGCGGCGGAGCAUGCGGAUUAAUUCGAUGCAACGCGAAGAACCUUACCAAGGCUUGACAUAACCGAGAACACCGUAGAAAUACGGGACUCUUUGGACACUCGGUUACAGGUGGUGCAUGGUUGUCGUCAGCUCGUGUCGUGAGAUGUUGGGUUAAGUCCCGCAACGAGCGCAACCCUCGUCGCAUGUUGCCAGCACGUCAUGGUGGGAACUCAUGUGAGACUGCCGGGGUCAACUCGGAGGAAGGUGGGGAUGACGUCAAAUCAUCAUGCCCCUUAUGUCUUGGGCUUCACGCAUGCUACAAUGGCCGGUACAAAGGGCUGCGAUGUCGUAAGGCGGAGCGAAUCCCAAAAAGCCGGUCUCAGUUCGGAUUGAGGU